rnacentral:tRNA from 1 species
CAUGACUAAUGAUAUGAAAAACCAUCGUUGUAUUUCAACUAUAAGAAC